GUCCACGCCGUAACGAUGGGUGCUAGGUGUGGGCGGUGUCGACUCCGUCCGUGCCGAAGCUAACGCAUUAAGCACCCCGCCUGGGGAGUACGGCCGCAAGGCUAAACUCAAAGGAAUUGACGGGGCCCGCACAAGCAGCGGAGCAUGUGGUUUAAUUCGACGCGACGCGAAGAACCUUACCAGGGCUUGACAUGCACGGGAAUGUCGUAGAAAUACGGCAGCCCUUCGGGGCUCGUGCACAGGUGGUGCAUGGCUGUCGU
rnacentral:rRNA from 1 species